rnacentral:rRNA from 1 species
UGAGGAAUAUUGGUCAAUGGGUGCAAGCCUGAACCAGCCAUCCCGCGUGAAGGACGACUGCCCUAUGGGUUGUAAACUUCUUUUGUAUAGGGAUAAACCUACCCUCGUGAGGGUAGCUGAAGGUACUAUACGAAUAAGCACCGGCUAACUCCGUGCCAGCAGCCGCGGUAAUACGGAGGGUGCAAGCGUUAUCCGGAUUUAUUGGGUUUAAAGGGUCCGUAGGCGGACUUAUAAGUCAGUGGUGAAAGCCUGUCGCUUAACGAUAGAACUGCCAUUGAUACUGUAAGUCUUGAGUAUAUUUGAGAUAGCUGGAAUAAGUAGUGUAGCGGUGAAAUGCAUAGAUAUUACUUAGAACACCAAUUGCGAAGGCAGGUUACCAGGAUAUAACUGACGCUGAGGGACGAAAGCGUGGGGAGCGAACA